rnacentral:rRNA from 1 species
GAUGAACGCUGGCGGCGUGCCUAAUACAUGCAAGUCGAGCGAACAGACGCGGAGUUUGCUCCGCUGACGUUUGCGGCGGGCGGGUGUGUAACACGUGUAUAACGUACCUAUCAUACGGGGAUAACUGCGGGACUCCGGCGCUAAUACCGUAUAAUAUCUUGAACGGCAGUGUUCAGUAGUGAAAUACGGUGUUGCUUUCGCUUAUAGCUUGAUCCGCGCCGCAUUAGCUAGUUGGUAAGGUAACGGCUUACCAAGGCAACGAUGCGUAGCCGACCUGAGAGGGUGAUCGGCCACACUAGAGCUGAGACACGGUCCAGACUCCUACGGGAGGCAGCAGUAGGGAAUCUUGCGCAAUGGGCGAAAGCUUGACGGAGCAACGCCGCGUGAGUGAUGAAGAUCUUGGGAUCGUAGAACUCUGUUAUUAGGGAAGAACAAAUGUGUAAGUAACUAUGGACGUCUUGACGGUACCUAAUCAGAAAGCCACGGCUAACUACGUG